AUUGAACGCUGGCGGCAGGCCUAACACAUGCAAGUCGAACGGUAACAGGAAGAAGCUUGCUUCUUUGCUGACGAGUGGCGUACGGGUGAGUAAUGUCUGGGAAACUGCCUGAUGGAGGGGGAUAACUACUGGAAACGGUAGCUAAUACCGCAUAACGUCGCAAGACCAAAGAGGGGGACCUUCGGGCCUCUUGCCAUCGGAUGUGCCCAGAUGGGAUUAGCUAGUAGGUGGGGUAACGGCUCACCUAGGCGACGAUCCCUAGCUGGUCUGAGAGGAUGACCAGCCACACUGGAACUGAGACACGGUCCAGACUCCUACGGGAGGCAGCAGUGGGGAAUAUUGCACAAUGGGCGCAAGCCUGAUGCAGCCAUGCCGCGUGUAUGAAGAAGGCCUUCGGGUUGUAAAGUACUUUCAGCGGGGAGGAAGGGAGUAAAGUUAAUACCUUUGCUCAUUGACGUUACCCGCAGAAGAAGCACCGGCUAACUCCGUG
rnacentral:rRNA from 1 species